AGGCAGUGAUGACUAAAUCUGUAUACCAUCAAACUAUGAAAGCUCUCUUUUUGGGGCUUGUUGAUGCCAACUUAACUUUACACUCUGAGCCU
rfam:Prunus persica cultivar Lovell chromosome G4, whole genome shotgun sequence.